UACGUAGGGGGCUAGCGUUGUCCGGAAUCAUUGGGCGUAAAGAGCGUGUAGGCGGCCCGGUAAGUCCGCUGUGAAAGUCGGGGGCUCAACCCUCGAAUGCCGGUGGAUACUGUCGGGCUAGAGUGCGGAAGAGGCGAGUGGAAUUCCUGGUGUAGCGGUGAAAUGCGCAGAUAUCAGGAGGAACACCGAUUGCGAAGGCAGCUCGCUGGGACGUAACUGACGCUGAGGCGCGAAAGCGUGGGGAGCAAACAGG
rnacentral:rRNA from 1 species